CAUAUCUUAUGGGCUGCUGGGGGAAGAUUGUCUUUGCCAGUUGGACUUUUACUCUGAGAUCUGUAUUUAUUAUUAUUAUUUAUUUUUCCCAUAAGAAAGGCUGCUGUCUAUCAGUCUAGCUACUAAAAGAGGAGCAGAGGAGGAAGACUACAGGGGCCUGGUCCAUAGCACCCACUGACACAGGCUGUUUCUACACGUUGCCCAGGCUCCUGCAGCAGUUUGUCCUCUGUGAGUGUGAAUGCUGAUGAACUUUUCUGCUGUUGGAGCCUGCUGCUGAGAUGCUUCUCUGUUUCUUUUAUGAGGUUCUCACUUCUGAAAUACAUCCAUUUGCUGGUAUGUAAAACAUAUCCAAGCCUUGCAUCAUCAGCUGUGCUUUCAGACCUUUAUUAACCAGUAGAACUGGGAGGAACCUGAGUCAAAGACACAGAGUGAGUGCUAGCAGCAGAGGCACUUCAGUUCAGGUGAGUUACCGUUUAUGACAACCGUACUGGGAUUUUGAUGGACAGAGCAAACUAUCAGACAAUAUAGCACGAUUUUAAUUGAAAUAUGAAGCCCAAAAGGAUUCUGGAAAUAGUCGUUUUCAGAUAAAAGAAAGGACAAU
rnacentral:lncRNA from 1 species